rnacentral:rRNA from 1 species
GACGAACGCUGGCGGCGUGCUUAACACAUGCAAGUCGAACGGUAAGGCCCUUCGGGGUACACGAGUGGCGAACGGGUGAGUAACACGUGGGUGAUCUGCCCUGCACUUCGGGAUAAGCCUGGGAAACUGGGUCUAAUACCGGAUAGGACUCCUGGCUUCAUGGUUGGGGGUGGAAAGCUUUUGCGGUGUGGGAUGGGCCCGCGGCCUAUCAGCUUGUUGGUGGGGUAAUGGCCUACCAAGGCGACGACGGGUAGCCGGCCUGAGAGGGUGACCGGUCACACUGGGACUGAGAUACGGCCCAGACUCCUACGGGUGGCAGCAGUGGGGAAUAUUGCACAAUGGGCGCAAGCCUGAUGCAGCGACGCCGCGUGAGGGAUGACGGCCUUCGGGUUGUAAACCUCUUUCAGCUAUGACGAAGCGCAAGUGACGGUAGUAGCAGAAGAAGGACCGGCCAACUACGUGCCAGCCGCCGCAGUAAGAC